UCCAUGGGCUAAGUAUCAUACAUAAGAACCCGCUAUUUUAAUCCAACUAUUUAACAUACAUUAUCACUUAUUUAAUUAUUAUUAUUAUUGCGUUUUACUAUUAAUUUAAAAUGACUUUAUUUAUCACGUUUUGUAAAUGAUAGUAAUUAAUUUGUUAUUAAUUUCUGAAAUACGUCAUUGACAUUUAAAGGCACGUCGUUGUGAAGGUCAUGUGUUUUGAACAUUGUUUACCAAAAUUAACUGUGGCGUUUAUAUUUAUAUAUUGAUAACCACUUAUUAUGAUUUAUAUUUACCUUAAAAAUGUCUAGAUUCAAUCUGUUAUUACUAUUUUACGUGUAAUCAUGUUUUGCCAAGGUAUAAGACAAAUUCCUCGAAAUGUUAAUUUACGAUAUAUGACAACUACGGAGGUGUCUACAGCCCUAAGACCCUUUUACUUUUCCGUGCAUCCUGAUCUUUUUGGACAGUAUCCCAGCCAAAGAAUGACUAAUGAGACUUCUUUGCAACAGUUAAGUUCCUUUAUAGAAUGCCUACAGAAAAAUCGUCCUGUAAAGCCUGUACAUUUGAAAUUUUACGUAAGAGAAAAGAACAAAGAUGAAGGACUAUUUAAGCUGGUUAAUAUUCAACUAAAUGAAAAGGACAUAAGAAGCACUGUUACCUCUAUUCUUCAAAGUUUAAAGCUUUCUACCAAAUAUGUGGAUGGGUUACCAAAGACUGAGAAAUUUACAGAUCCUUUAUUUACUGAAAAAAAGACACAUUAUAAUGUUGACUUUACAAAUAUAAAGGAGGAUGAUCCGCUGUUUGGAAUGUUUAUUUUGAAAAAGAAAAUUGACUUAGAAAGGGAAUCUAAUAGGCUAAGAUAUUGGCUAGAGAAAAACUAUAAAGUUGCCCUUGACAAGUCAAAAACACAGAUACCUGUUAGAUCUGACAUUAAACGGUUACGAAAUGAACUGAUACAAAAGUGGGGUUUGCAAGAAGUCCGCUGGGACUGUGGCUGGAAUGAACAACAUUUUAAGGGUUGUCUGCAAGCUCUCAUGGCAUUGGGAGAGCAGCAUCCACAACCAAUGCAAAUACUAAAAGGGAGAAUACUUGUAUUUGCUGGAUUCACAGGGGUCAGUUUAGAUGGACAUAUAAUGCUUAACAGUGGUGAAGUCCGUCAUAAUUGGCUUGAUUUGUUGCAUAAUGUAAAAAAGUAUGACAAAGCUCUAUUACGUAUUCCACUAUUCGAAAAAUGCGUUUCACAAGUAUUGAGAGACAUAAAAAUUGGCAGACGGAAAUUUAUGCCUAAAAUUUUAGCUGAAGAGUAUGAAAAUAAUUUGAAGAAGAUAACGACAGCUUUAAAUGAUUAUUUAAGCAGGAGAAGUUUUCCAAAAGAAUGGCCUAAGACCCUAAAGGAAUAUGAACUCGUUGUUGAUAGUGAGUCUGGCCCAUUAAUGCUUUCCCACACAGGUCAGAUAAUGGUUCCAGCUUCUUGUCCUGGGGUCCUAAUGGUCAAUUUCAUAACACGCAAUUUAGAGGAGGCAGCUAAGAAAAUGGAAAAGUAUAAAACAAAUCAAUAUUUAGAGCAGUCCUUACAGCAAAAGUGUAUCGACGCCUUGCAUCUGACUGAUUUAUUCAAAGACGACAGCGUCUCUCCUGAUGUAAUGAUAGAGUGCUGUCAGAGGUUGUUGAAGUUCCAGGAUGAGUUGCAGCCCGUGUUAAAGGAUGUCUGUCUCCAUAUCACCAAUUAUUACUCGGUCUUAUCGGACGGCGUCGUUUGCAUUCCUUGGAACUGGGCCAUUUAGUGUGACCUUUAUUAUCACGUCCUCAAGGAUACCUACGGAUAUGAUUGGAAUAGCAGUGUGCUUUUGUCUAAAAGCUGAGUAAUAUAUCGCGAGAGAGCUGACUCAAUCUAUUAAAUUUACGUUGUUUAAAGACGUUUAAUUCGAAAUUUUUAAAAUAAACUUUGGUUUAUUUAGUGCAAGGGUUAAUUUGGUGAUUGGUGCAAGUAUUAAAUAUAAAUGUGAUCUUAUAACUCUCGUAAAAAGACAAUUUGAUAAAAGUGUGUGCUAGGGGUGAUAAAAAUCCUGGCCGACAUCUUGUAUUGCUGAGCAAAAUAAUGAAUGGGGUAAUGAUUGGAUUGCUUUUAAAGAAUCCAUCAGUGUUGUUAAUUAAACGUUAUAUUAUCUUGGUGAAAAAUUAGACAAUAGUUAAUCACACGCGGCAAAGAGAGGCGGCGG
rnacentral:misc_RNA from 1 species